rnacentral:rRNA from 1 species
UUGAACGCUGGCGGCAUGCCUUACACAUGCAAGUCGAACGGCAGCACAGAGGAGCUUGCUCCUUGGGUGGCGAGUGGCGGACGGGUGAGGAAUACAUCGGAAUCUACUCUUUCGUGGGGGAUAACGUAGGGAAACUUACGCUAAUACCGCAUACGACCUUCGGGUGAAAGCAGGGGAUCGCAAGACCUUGCGCGAUUGAAUGAGCCGAUGUCGGAUUAGCUAGUUGGCGGGGUAAAGGCCCACCAAGGCGACGAUCCGUAGCUGGUCUGAGAGGAUGAUCAGCAACACUGGAACUGAGACACGGUCCAGACUCCUACGGGAGGCAGCAGUGGGGAAUAUUGGACAAUGGGCGCAAGCCUGAUCCAGCCAUACCGCGUGGGUGAAGAAGGCCUUCGGGUUGUAAAGCCCUUUUGUUGGGAAAGAAAAGCACACGGUUAAUACCCGAGUGUUCUGACGGUACCCAAAGAAUAAGCACCGGCUAACUUCGUGCCAGCCGCCGCCGUAA